rnacentral:rRNA from 1 species
UGCCCGCAAGGAAAUGUAGUGAGAGGUGCUGCAUGGCUGUCGUCGGCUCGUGUUGUGAAAUGUUGGGUUAAGUCUCGCAACGAGCGCAACCCCUAUCGUCUGUUGCCAGCAUUAAGUUGGGCACUCUGACGAGACUGCCUGGGUUAACCAGGAGGAAGGUGGGGAUGACGUCAAGUCCUCAUGGCCCUUAUGUCUAGGGCUACACACGUAAUACAAUGGCGCGUACAGAGGGAAGCGAACUCGCAAGGGGGAGCAAGUCUCAAGAAGCGCGCCUCAGUUCGGAUUGGAGUCUGCAACUCGACUCCAUGAAGUUGGAAUCGCUAGUAAUCGGAGAUCAGCACGCUCC